UACGAAGGGUGCAAACGUUGCUCGGAAUUAUUGGGCGUAAAGCGCACGUAGGCGGCUUAGCAAGUUGGAUGUGAAAUCCCUCGGCUUAACCGAGGAACUGCGUCUGAUACUGGAUGGCUUGAGAUUGGGAGAGGGAUGCGGAAUUCCAGGUGUAGCGGUGAAAUGCGUAGAUAUCUGGAGGAACACCGGUGGCGAAGGCGGCAUCCUGGACCAACACUGACGCUGAGGAGCGAAAGCCAGGGGAGCAAACGGG
rnacentral:rRNA from 1 species